AAAGCCCCCAGUGGCACUGGAUAAUUAUUCCUGCAUCACUGAGAGAUGCAGAGUGACUCUUGGCUGGGGCUGAUGGAGGGGCAUCGUUUGCGUCUUCUACCUAAAGCCUGAAAAUUGCCUCUCUGGACACAUCUAAGGGUGGAGCAGCAGGAACGGGUGCGGAAGAGCUGAACCAUUCAAAUGGCCUGUUUGCAAAAUGAUGAUAGGGUCCUGCAACAGCUUGAAAAUACAGCCGGCAGAGAAGGGUCGGUCAUGCGGCAGCACAAACAGCAACAGUAAUUGGCAGCCGUCCAUGGACAGAAGUGCAUUUGUGGGCGCUUCAAGAUCCAGGCAGGAGCUUGCAAAACCUCGGUGGAGGCCACGACUGAGGAGGACCAAUUUGAGAAAGCUGGCCUGUGCUCAGGUGGCAGGCUUGCCAACUUUGGUCCUGGCUGCAGACAAUAGCCCAUCCCCUCGCAGACUCAGCUAUAGUUCUGUUUGGCUUUGGUCCUGCUACCGGCACUAUCUGCCAAGCGACCCAGGGGGAGUCACACCUGCUUGUGUCCCAGGGUAUAUUCACAAAUACCAGGCUUGCCUGACUUUUGAACAAAACCCAGUCUCAGCAAUGACACAACUUAAUCUGAAGAAGAGCACAUCACCAUGGCCCAGAGCUCCUCAACAACAUCUCUGCUGCAGCCCUGCCUCAGAAAGCCUGUUUUCCUGCAGCCUGUCUGGACUCUGAAUUCACGACCCAUAUGGGUGGACCUUUCCCUAAGAGUGGUCUGAGGGGCACGAUCCCAAAUCCGUGUCUCACAAGCACCUACACCGCACUGUUUGGAGGACCCUGUUUUCUAUCUCCAGUGGGAGUGCCUUAAGCUCAUGGACAACUGAUUAACUAGCCCAGUGCCUGGAACACAGCAGAGUCUUAACACAGCUGUGAAAAUGAACUGAACGAAUGGUGGAAGUUGAAGUCAUCCUCCUUCCAAAUCGACAGACGCCAGAGAAAUGCUCGGCACACACCAACAACGUGUGGCUUCUCUGCUGACGGUCCUCCUGGGCCGGGCCUUCCCCUUCAGGAUAGCCUGUCCCAUCAAUCACUUCUAGAUCCUUUCUAGAAAGUCUCCCCAUUCCUCUUGGUAUUCCUCUGGAUCAAGGCCCUCCCUUCGGCGAGUGAAAGCUUAUUUUGAAACAAAACACAUACAGCUUCUAAAAAUGUGUGUUUUCAGUGAAAAACAGUUGGUCCUGUUUUCCACUGUGGCCAAGAUGGUGCCAUCAUUUAAGGGAUAAGUGGCAAUUAUCUUUUACUUAGGCUUUUACUGCCAAUCUCAUCAGGAGAAUGUUUCAUGCAAGUAAGAAACACUUAAAUAAGUAAAAAUAAAAUUAAAGCCACAGAGAGGUCAGAUACAGCAAUGAUUAAGUGGUUAUAAAGCUUCACAGCUCAUUUUUCAAAAAAGUCUUAGAAAAUGUAACAACUGCCCAUAAAGUUUUGAUCAAUGAUGUACAUGACUUGAGAUUCUACCGGAGUUAUUGGUAUUAUGGGAAAUUUGAGGAGGAAAUGUGAUUUUUCUACCCUAGAAGUAUAAGCAGGUAGCAUAGGGGGUCUCCAGAGAAAGAGAACCAGGCAUGGCUUUCUUGACAUAACAGAAGCCAUUUUGGUCUAAGCCAUUUUGGGAUCUAAGCCUGGCCACAAUGCUUGUCCUUGAAUAGGUCUUAGUAAUGAAUGAUCUAAGGGAAAAAAAGAAUGCAGAACAGAGAAAAGGCAGUCAAACAAUAGUACAGUGCUAAAGCAAAGUCCUAUUUCCUCCUCAGAGGAUAUACAUAAUAACAUAUCUUUGAGUUCUACAGGAACUAAAUAAGGUCCCACCCAGGUGGAGGACAGAAGGAUGAUGUUGACGCCCCAGACUUCAAUUAACUAAAGGUUGGACUCUGUCGACUUUGCUCCCAAUUCUAUGCUGAAUUAUCCUCUGAAAAAGCCCCUUCAUGAAUAUGCAUAUACUCUUAGCUUAAAACUUCCCCAGUUUUGCUGUUGGGGAGACACCAUUUGGGGAAAGAUCCCCGGUGUUAUCCUUACUUGCUGCAAUUAAUAAUAAAUCCUUCCUUCCCCUGCACUUUGGCUAGGUUGUGUCUUUUGGCUUGAUAUCCACCAGGAGGCGAACCCAGUUUUUGGGUAAUAGAAGGUAAAACCAACUUUCAUUUACUUCCCUCAAUUACCCAUGCCAUGAAAAUUAUCUCAAGUUUGCCUAAAAUUUGGUUCACUAUUGUUGAAGAUAUCCUGUGUAAGGAAUGUAUUUUGGGAACAGUCUGUGAAAUACUCCCUUGUAAACUAUUGGUGAAAGAUUUUAAAUGGUGCUGGG